UACGUAGGUUCCAAGCGUUGCCCGGUUUUAUUGGGCGUAAAGCGUCUGUAGGUGGUUUUCUAAGUCUUGUUUCAAAGACCCUGACUUAAUCAGGGAAAGGGGCAGGAUACUGAAAGACUGGAGUUAUAUCGGGGUUACUGGAAUUUGUGGUGUAGGGGUAAAAUCCGUGGAUACCACAAAGAACACCAAGCGCGAAGGCGGGUAACCAGGUAUACACUGACACUGAGAGACGAAAGCUAGGGUAGCCAAUCAGAUUAGAGACCUGAGUAGUCCUAGCCGUAAACAUUGUCUGUUAAUUUUCCCCCUUUUUGGGAGGAGAUGCUAGCUAACGCGUUAAACAGACCGCCUGGGGAGUAUAGCCGCAAGGCCGAAACUCAAACGAAUUGGCGGGGAGGCGCACAACCAGUGGAGCAUGUGGUUUAAUUCGAUACGAAGCGAUAAACCUUACCCGGGUUUGAAAUGUAUCUGCAAGCCGAAUGAAAGUUUGGCCGCCUUCGAGGGUGAUACACAGCUGUUGCAUGGCUGUCGUCAGCUCGUGACGUGAGUUGUUCUCUUAAGUGAGGUAACGAGCGCAACCCCUAUCGUAUGUUACUGUAUCAUACGAGACUGCCCAGCAUUAUUUUGUUGGGAGGAAGGAGGGGACGACGUCAAGUCAUCAUGAUGCUUAUAUCCGGGGCUACACACAUCCUACAAUGGAUUGUACAGAGGGUUGCAAUACCGCAAGGUGGAGCUAAUCCCUAAAACAAUCCUCAGUUGGGAUUGCAGGCUGAAACUCGCCUGCAUGAACUUGGAAUUGGUAGUAAUCGCAAAUCAGCAGAUUGCGGUGAAUACGUUCUCGCCUCU
rnacentral:rRNA from 1 species